UCAAGCGCGAAAAGGGCGUUUGGUGAAUGCCUUGGCAGUAAGAGGCGAUGAAGGACGUGAUACUCUGCGAUAAGUUAUGGGGAGCUGAGAAUAAGCUUUGAUCCAUAAAUUUCCGAAUGGGGCAACCCACCUGAUACUUUGUUAUUAAUACUACUUAUUGUAGUGCCGUUUAAGGGUUCGCCCUUGGGUAGCGUUGCAUGCGGUGGGGCAUAAUAAUAGGGUAAACCAGGUAUUUAUAACUUGAAUACAUAGGGUUAUAAAAGCAAACCCGGGGAACUGAAACAUCUAAGUACCCGGAGGAAAGGACAUCAAUUAGAUACUCCCCUAGUAGCGGCGAGCGAACGGGGACCAGCCGAGCCAUGAGUGUGACUAGAAUGUGUUGGAAAGCACAACCAAAGUGGGUGACAGUCCCGUAUAGGAAGCAUGAUUGGACGUAUUAAGUAGGGCGGGACACGUGAAAUCCUGUUCGAAGAUCGGAGGACCACCUCCGAAGGCUAAGUACUCCUUACUGACCGAUAGUGAACCAGUACCGUGAGGGAAAGGUGAAAAGCACCCCGACGAGGGGAGUGAAACAGUUUCUGAAACCGGACGCCUACAAUCAGUUGGAGGGCCCUUGCGGCCUGACAGCGUACCUUUUGUAUAAUGGGUCAUCGACUUAGUGUAUCUAGCAAGCUUAAGCCGUUAGGUGUAGGCGCAGCGAAAGCGAGUCUUAAUAGGGCGAUUGAGUUAGAUGCAUUAGACCCGAAACCGAGUGAUCUAGGCAUGACCAGGUUGAAGGUUGGGUAACACCAACUGGAGGACCGAACCCACAUCUGUUGAAAAAGAUCGGGAUGAGUUGUGCCUAGGGGUGAAAGGCCAAUCAAACUCGGAGAUAGCUGGUUCUCCGCGAAAUCUAUUUAGGUAGAGCGUCAUCCGAAUACCCCGGGGGGUAGAGCACUGGAUGGGUAAUGGGGCCCCACAGGCUUACUGAUCCUAACCAAACUCCGAAUACCCGGGAGUAAUAGAUGGCAGACACACUGCGGGUGCUAACGCCCGUAGUGAAAAGGGAAACAACCCUGACCGACAGUUAAGGCCCCUAAUUCAUGGCUAAGUGGGAAAGCAGGUGGGACGACCAAAACAACCAGGAAGUUGGCUUAGAAGCAGCCAUCUUUUAAAGAUAGCGUAACAGCUCACUGGUCUAAUUAAGUUGUCCUGCGGCGAAGAUGUAACGGGGCUCAAGCCAUGAGCCGAAACUUCGGAUGCAUUUAAUGCAUGGUAGCGGAGCGUAGUGUGACAUAGUUCCAUGCGUCCUUCGUUUUAUAGCGGACUGCCCAGGCUUUCGAGCCUGUGUGGAGGCGCGUAAAAUACUGGACGCAAGGAGCUUUCUGUGAAGCCGGCCUGUGAGGGAUCCGGUGGAGAGAUCACUAGUGAGAAUGAUGACAUGAGUAACGACAAAGGGGGUGAGAGACCCCCUCGCCGAAAAUCCAAGGGUUCCUGCUUAAAGCUAAUCUGAGCAGGGUAAGCCGGCCCCUAAGCCGAGGGCGAAAGCCGUAGGCGAUGGGAACCAGGUUAAUAUUCCUGGGCCAGGAGGAAGUGACGGAUCACAAAGAUUGUUGGAUCAGGCGUAGUUGCCCCAGCAGUUCAGUGGUUCCUGGAAAUAGCCCUCCAUCAGACCGUACCCUAAACCGACACAGGUGGAUAGGUAGAGUAUACCAAGGCGCUUGAGAGAACUAUGUUGAAGGAACUCGGCAAAAUACCUCCGUAAGUUCGCGAGAAGGAGGCCCGGUUUCUAGGCAACUGGAAGCUGGGGGCACAAACCAGGGGGUGGCGACUGUUUACUAAAAACACAGGGCUCUGCGAAGUCGCAAGACGACGUAUAGGGUCUGACGCCUGCCCGGUGCCUGAAGGUUAAAAGGAGGGGUGAGAGCUCCGAAUUGAAGCCCAGGUAAACGGCGGCCGUAACUAUAACGGUCCUAAGGUAGCGAAAUUCCUUGUCGGG
rnacentral:rRNA from 1 species